rnacentral:rRNA from 1 species
UACGAAGGGUGCAAGCGUUACUCGGAAUUACUGGGCGUAAAGGGUGCGUAGGUGGUUUGUUAAGUCUGCUGUGAAAUCCCCGGGCUCAACCUGGGAAUGGCAGUGGAUACUGGCAAGCUGGAGUGCGGUAGAGGGUAGUGGAAUUCCCGGUGUAGCAGUGAAAUGCGUAGAGAUCGGGAAGAACAUCGGUGGCGAAGGCGCUCUACUGGACCACAACUGACACUCAGGGACGAAAGCUAGGGGAGCGAAUGGG